rnacentral:tRNA from 1 species
GGAGGAGAGGCAGCUCUGGUGAGUUGUCCGGACUUCAAAUCCGGGUGGGGCCGUGAGACGGUCCCAGGUGGGUUCGACUCCCACUCUCCUCCGCCA